GUAAGUAAGUGCUUAAGGGCGCAUGGUGGAUGCCUUGGCAUCGAGAGCCGAUGAAGGACGUGGGAGGCUGCGAUAUGCCUCGGGGAGCUGUCAACCGAGCGUGGAUCCGAGGAUUUCCGAAUGGGGAAACCCAGCACGAGUGAUGUCGUGUUACCCGUAUCUGAAUAUAUAGGGUGCGGGAGGGAACGCGGGGAAGUGAAACAUCUCAGUACCCGUAGGAGAAGAAAACAAUUGUGAUUCCGCAAGUAGUGGCGAGCGAACGUGGAAUAUGGCUAAACCGCACGCAUGUGUAACCAGGUAGGGGUUGUGUGUGCGGGGUUGUGGGAGUGAUACAUCUCAGUUCUACCUGGCUGAGGGGUAGUCAGAAAGUGUCGUGGUUAGCGGAAGUGGCCUGGGAUGGCCUGCCGUAGACGGUGAGAGCCCAGUACGCGAAAACCCGGCACCUACCUUGUGUCAAUUCCCGAGUAGCAGCGGGCCCGUGGAAUCUGCUGUGAAUCUGCCGGGACCACCCGGUAAGCCUAAAUACUUCUCGAUGACCGAUAGCGGAUUAGUACCGUGAGGGAAUGGUGAAAAGUACCCCGGGAGGGGAGUGAAAUAGUACCUGAAACCGUGUGCCUACAAUCCGUCAGAGCCUCCUUGUGGGGUGAUGGCGUGCCUUUUGAAGAAUGAGCCUGCGAGUCAGGGACAUGUCGCGAGGUUAACCCGUGUGGGGUAGCCGCAGCGAAAGCGAGUCUGAAUAGGGCGUAUCACGUGUGAGCGUGUGUAGUGGCAUGUUCUGGACCCGAAGCGGAGUGAUCUACCCAUGGCCAGGGUGAAGCGCGGGUAAGACCGCGUGGAGGCCCGAACCCACUUAGGUUGAAGACUGAGGGGAUGAGCUGUGGGUAGGGGUGAAAGGCCAAUCAAACUCCGUGAUAGCUGGUUCUCCCCGAAAUGCAUUUAGGUGCAGCGUUGCGUGGUUCACCACGGAGGUAGAGCUACUGGAUGGCCGAUGGGCCCUACUAGGUUACUGACGUCAGCCAAACUCCAAAUGCCGUGGUGUAGAGCGUGGCAGUGAGACGGCGGGGGAUAAGCUCCGUACGUCGAAAGGGAAACAGCCCAGAUCGCCGGCUAAGGCCCCUAAGCGUGUGCUAAGUGGAAAAGGAUGUGCAGUCGCAAAGACAACCAGGAGGUUGGCUUAGAAGCAGCCACCCUUGAAAGAGUGCGUAAUAGCUCACUGGUCAAGUGAUUGUGCGCCGAUAAUGUAGCGGGGCUCAAGCACACCGCCGAAGCCGCGGCACAUUCACGUUUACGUGGGUGUGGGUAGGGGAGCGUCCCUCAUUCAGCGAAGCCUCCGGGUAACCGGUGGUGGAGGGUGGGGGAGUGAGAAUGCAGGCAUGAGUAGCGAUAAGGCAAGUGAGAACCUUGCCCGCCGAAAGACCAAGGGUUCCUGGGCCAGGCCAGUCCGCCCAGGGUGAGUCGGGACCUAAGGCGAGGCCGACAGGCGUAGUCGAUGGACAACGGGUUGAUAUUCCCGUACCCGUGUGUGCGCGCCCGUGAUGAAUCAGCGGUACUAACCACCCAAAACCGGAUCGAUCAUUCCCCUUCGGGGGCGUGGAGGUUCGGGGCUGCGUGGGAACUUCGCUGGUAGUAGUCAAGCGAUGGGGUGACGCAGGAAGGUAGCCGUACCAGUCAGUGGUAAUACUGGGGCAAGCCCGUAGGGAGAGCGAUAGGCAAAUCCGUCGCUCAUAUAUCCUGAGAGGUGAUGCAUAGCCGAUUGAGGCAAAUUCGGUGAUCCUCUGCUGCCAAGAAAAGCCUCUAGCGAGCACACACACGGCCCGUACCCCAAACCGACACAGGUGGUCAGGUAGAGCAUACCAAGGCGUACGAGAUAACUAUGGUUAAGGAACUCGGCAAAAUACCCCCGUAACUUCGGGAGAAGGGGGGCCGGAAUAUCGUGAACACCCUUGCGGUGGGAGCGAGAUCCGGUCGCAGAAACCAGUGAGAAGCGACUGUUUACUAAAAACACAGGUCCGUGCGAAGUCGCAAGACGAUGUAUACGGACUGACGCCUGCCCGGUGCUGGAAGGUUAAGAGGACCCGUUAACUCGAAAGGGUGAAGCGGAGAAUUUAAGCCCCAGUAAACGGCGGUGGUAACUAUAACCAUCCUAAGGUAGCGAAAUUCCUUGUCGGGUAAGUUCCGACCUGCACGAAUGGCGUAACGACUUCUCAACUGUCUCAACCAUAGACUCGGCGAAAUUGCACUACGAGUAAAGAUGCUCGUUACGCGCGGCAGGACGAAAAGACCCCGGGACCUUCACUACAACUUGGUAUUGAUGUUCGGUACGGUUUGUGUAGGAUAGGUGGGAGACUGUGAAACCUCGACGCUAGUUGGGGCGGAGUCGUUGUUGAAAUACCACUCUGAUCGUAUUGGACAUCUAACGUCGAACCGUAUAUCCGGUUCACGGACAGUGCCUGGCGGGUAGUUUAACUGGGGCGGUUGCCUCCUAAAAUGUAACGGAGGCGCCCAAAGGUUCCCUCAACCUGGACGGCAAUCAGGUGGCGAGUGUAAAUGCACAAGGGAGCUUGACUGCGAGACCUACACGUCAAGCAGGGACGAAAGUCGGGAUUAGUGAUCCGGCACCUCUGAGUGGAAGGGGUGUCGCUCAACGGAUAAAAGGUACCCCGGGGAUAACAGGCUGAUCUUCCCCAAGAGUCCAUAUCGACGGGAUGGUUUGGCACCUCGAUGUCGGCUCGUCGCAUCCUGGGGCUGGAGCAGGUCCCAAGGGUUGGGCUGUUCGCCCAUUAAAGCGGCACGCGAGCUGGGUUUAGAACGUCGUGAGACAGUUCGGUCUCUAUCCGCCGCGCGCGUCAGAAACUUGAGGAAACCUGUCCCUAGUACGAGAGGACCGGGACGGACGAACCUCUGGUAUACCAGUUGUCCCACCAGGGGCACCGCUGGAUAGCCACGUUCGGACAGGAUAACCGCUGAAAGCAUCUAAGCGGGAAACCUUCUCCAAGAUCAGGUUUCUCACCCACUUGGUGGGAUAAGGCCCCCCGCAGAACACGGGAUUGAUAGGUCAGACCUAGAAGCUCAGCAAUGAGUGCAGGGAACUGGCACUAACCGGCCGAAAACUUACCAACACA
rnacentral:rRNA from 1 species